CCAGCCGGCCGCGCCCCCGCCGGUGCCCAGGCCGGUGCCGAGCCGCCGGCCCCCGGGCCAGCCGAUCGGGGGCCCCUGCCGCCCCCCAGGCCCCUCACCCCGGCCGGCCCGGAUCAGAAGUGUCGACGCCCCGAAACGAGUCACCGCGGACGGCCGCGUGCGGCCAGGUGCUUCUGUGGUGAACACACGAGUGUGUGAGGCGUGUGCUGAAUGGCAUCGUGAAGGCGCAGGAUGUCCACAGUGUGCCUGCAGUGGGGGUUAUCCCCACCCCACUCUCCCCCAAGAACGGACAAGAUGGAGGGGCUCCCAGAAGGACCCUGUCCCUGGAGCCCGGCCAGGGCUGGGGGCACGGGGUACAAAGUAGGGCCCAGCACGUCUCUCUCUAAGCAAGACUCACUUCCAGCCUGCCCAGGAGAUGGCAGCGCUGCUCUCUCCUCGAGGGCCUGGGGACUCAGAGUUAGGACACGUGGACAUCCUCAACAAUGCUUGAUAUGGUGGUCGAUUUGUAAACAUUCAAUAGGAAUAUCAUGAUAAAAAUGGCCGGCACCCAAAUGCCAGGUCCCUGAAGUCUCGCCUUGAGCCAACUCAGAGGGGAAAGACAGACCUGCUGCCCUGGCUGCCCACAAAGGAGUUUGAUGAAGUAACAAAGUCCCUGGUGGGGGAGGAGAGCCUCGGAGCUGAUGGCCAGCCCUAGCCGGUGUAGGUCAUCUCCAGUGUGCCACUGCCUGUUUCUCCAGCGCCUGGCCCAGAGAAGUUCCACGAUGAUUGCCUGUUGAGUGGCUGGAACUCUAACUUCAAUGCCGACCUUCUAACUACCGGGCCACGUGGCCCUGCGAGUAGGGGGAAACCAGACACCCCCUCCCUCCCCAAAAUCACCACCCCCGAAAAAAGUACGUGAAGAAGGAAAGAAUCUCCUUGCCCUUCCUUUACCAGCUGUGUGUGUCUUUGGUUGAUUCUCUACAAAGUGGGGUUGUAACAGUACCUUUCUGCAGUUGUAGAAGUUAAACAAGAUCAUCGACCUCGAGCUCGCAGCCCGGCAUGGAGUAAGCACUUGGAAUGAGCGUUAGCUAUGUCACAUCACCACCGUCGUCCUAGAACCCGUGUUCACACGGCCCUGGUCACGGGCCCUCCAUCCAGUGCACUUCUCUGAACCUCCCCCGUCUGCCCAACAACUGGCUGCAGACACUCUCGACGCAGCAUGUCUCAGAGUUUCCAACCUUGGCACUUGGACCUUCGGGGCUGGAUAAUUCUCACCUUGGUGGCAGGCAGCUGUCCCGUGCACUGUAGGGUGUUUGGCAGCAUCCCUGGCCUCUACCCCCACAAAUACCGGUAAUAGUCCCCAACUUGUGACAACCAGAAUGUCUCCAGGCAUUGCCACAUGUCACCUGGGAAGCAUAAUCACCCCUGGUUGAGAGCCCCUUGUUUGAAGGAAGCUGUUUUCCCUGCCCCCUGAGCUGGUGCAGGCUGCUCCCCGGCCAUGCCGUGGGUCCCAGUGUGGGGAGAUUAUAUUGUCCACACUCAUGCGACGUCACGUUCCUCCUCAGACUCCACUUCCCGGGGACUGGAGUGAACCGGCAGCUGGCUUUGUCAGACUGUCAAGGAGCACGGGCACCCACAGGAUGGAAUAAGGUGCAACCUGUUUUCAGUCGUGUUUUUGGAGCCUAUAUAGUGGCAUGAGGCCACGCCUGUAAUAAAACGCCAAGCACCAAAAGCAAGCAUCAAAAUUAUUUGUCCUUAAGUGGUCCCAAUUUCGUAGCCCCCUAUGGCGUUAUUGCUUUGGAAGAACUCUCUGGAAGCUCCGUCUGAAAACUGUCUCAAAAUUGCGUCAGCCAGGAGAGCAUUCCCGAACCUCAUUUUGAACAGGCAUGAGACACCGGCAUAAUGGAACACACACUCCGUCCCGAUGGCAUUUAAUGUACUGAUCAAAUAAUAAAAUGCGCUUAGUCUCCCA